CUGCAACCACUGGUUCUUCAGUCCAGUCAGACAGCCUCUUCCACCUGAGCACCGUACCUGAGCUCGGAAAGCCCGGCAGGACCCUGGAGAGGAAGAGGGAAUGUCAAUCCCACCUAGUCUGCUUCCUUCGUUUUGAAGGACAUAUCUUUUCCAGUUUACUUCUGCUUUUUGUUGCUCUCCAGUGCCUUCAAACAGUUGUUUUUCAUACUUUGUCCAAAGCUUAUAUUUGUUCUUGGCAGGAGGGUCAGUUAUCUGACUAUGGUGCCACUAUUGGAGCUGGAACUGACCUGUCCGAGCAUAUUUUUUAGUUUUAAAGCCUUAAGAAAGCACGAGGAGCUUCUCUAAACAUCUUGCUCCCUUCUUUAAUUCACCUAAUAUUCUUUAAACCCUAGACUUCUCAAGGACCUGCCAAGAACACCAUGUGCUCUCUUCAACUCCGUUUACCAAGUUAAGAUUUGGCUGCAGCUCGUCAGAAUUGGGAAUUGGUUUUACAACCUCUGAUGUUCCUCUCAACCCUCAGAAUCUACAAUAUUCUGCAUUAGGUACUUUUGCAGAAUUCUUUACUUCUGUCUGCCAGGAAGUAUCAGGUCAGCCGUGUUUGAAGGAGGGACAUGAAUGCAUCCCCUCCUUAACCCCCUUUAUGAAGAGAAACGCACCUCAGCCACAGAGACCGGGCCCGGGGUGCCGCUGUAGGAACCACUUUGUGGAAAGUUAGAUUUAUUCUUUGCUAAAAUGGAAGAACCCUGAGCGCAGGGACCGUGGCGGGCAGCUCUGUCCGCGCAGACACUUGGUAAGCCUUUCUCUCCUGGGCAUGUGGGAAGCCACACUCCCCUGGCCUUCGCGUGUGGUCAGGGCCGUGUGCCUGGUCCUGGCCUAUAGGCGGUGAGAGGAAGUGACCUACGUCCUGUCCAGGCUGAGGCGUUUAAAGCCCCUGCAUCAUUCGCCGGUCUCUCGCCUCCUGUUGAGGCGACUGGAGGAGGCUGGCGGUGAGAGGCACAGACGCAGUGUGGAAAGAGCAGCCCGGUGCACGGUGCACUUUGAGCAAGGAGGAAACGUGAGUUGUGUCAAGCCGUGAAGACUUAGGGACUGCUUUUUACCCCGACAUAGCCCAUCCUGUCCUGAGAAAUGUAGAAAUUUUGGACUUAAAAACUGAGACAUCAUUUACAAACAGUGAAACACUCAGACUUUAAGUGUGCGGUUUGAACUGUUUCGACAAAUGCCGAUACUCACGCAGCCCACACCCAUUUUAAGACACAGAACUUUACUGUCACCCAAGACAGCUCUCCUGUGCGCCUCUGCAGUCAAACCCCAAACCCCUCCCUGCAGAAAAAUCCCUCAUUUCUUUUAAUAUAGUUUUGCCAAUUGUCAAACUUGACAUAAAUAGAAUCAUAUAAUGUGUACAUCUUUGUGUGCGCCUGGCUUCUUUCACUCAGUGUGAGAUUUCUGAGAUUUAUCUAUGCUGAUAGCAUUGCGUUAGUACUUUUUUGUUCUUGAGGACUAAGAGUCCACUACAUGAAUUUGCCAUAGUUUACCCAUUCUCCUUGUGAUGGACAGUUUCCAGUUUCGGGUUACUGUGAAUGAAGAUCCUAUGGACACUUGUUCACAAGGCUUUUGUGGAAUAUGUUUCCAUUUCUCUUGGAUAAAAACCUUGGUGUGGAAUUUCUGGGUCAUAAGAUGUAUGUUUAACUUUCUUAAAAGGUUAAGAAACUCUCAAACUGUUUUUCAAAAUAACUGUAUCAUUUAUGCCUCUGCCAGUAACAUGAGUGUUACGAUUCCUCCGCAUCGUCUCCAACGCUUGAGGCUGUCAACCUUGUUCAUUUUGGCCAGGCUAGUGGGUGUGUAGUGGUAUCUCAUUGUUUUAAAUUAAAAUAGUUUUAAUUUUUAUUUCUCUGAUGACAAUAGCGAGCAUUUUUCAUGUGCUUUUUGGCCAUUUAUACAUCUUUAUUUGUGACAUAACUGUUCACAUUUUUUUGCUUUUUAAAAAACUGGGUCAUUUGUUUUUUU
rnacentral:lncRNA from 1 species